AUCUAGCUAACGAGUCCCAAAUGGGACGGAACGUACGUCCUAGAU
rnacentral:hammerhead_ribozyme from 1 species